UGCUUUUUCUGAAAUUUGCCAGAUUGAGAUAACUGACUAAUUAUAUCCCUAAAGAGAACUCUGCUUGUUGAAUGUACAACGGUGCGCAAGAAUUGGUCAAUGCCUACACAGCAGCUGUCAAAAAUGAAGAAGAUCAGAGCAACCAUGCAAGCUCCGUUUUAAUGAUGGUGGAGUCUCUACCUACCAGCCCUGAGCUUUGCAUCUUGGAAUUGGUCUGUAAGAUAAAAACAACAAUGUCCUGAGUGAGACGGCAGCUGCCUACAAAGUAGAGAUGCCGCAUCAGAAACUGACUAUGCUGGGAUCCUGAUCUUGAACUUCAAAGCCUCCAGAACUGUGAGAAAUAAAUGUCUGUUGUUUAAGCCACGCAGUCU